UGCAGGAGUCACACAGCACAUCUUCUGGGGUGACAGUAAACCCGCUAGAGAUUGUCUGAGGCUGGGUGUUCUCCCCUGGCUUAUCGUGCGUUGUUGUUGGGUCCUCUUCCGGGUUCUGAGGCUGGGUGUUCUCCCCUGGUUUAUCGUGCGUUGUUGUUGUGUCCUCUUGUUCCUGGUUCUGGGGCUGGGUGUUCUGCCCUGGUUUAUCGUGCGUUGUUGUUGGGUCCUCUUGUUCCUGGUUCUGAGGCUGGGUGUUCUCCCUGGUUUAUCGUGC
ensembl:lncRNA